CAGUAGCCGCGGUAAAACGGAGGGGGCUAGCGUUGUUCGGAAUUACUGGGCGUAAAGCGCACGUAGGCGGCUUGGUAAGUUAGAGGUGAAAGCCCGGAGCUCAACUCCGGAAUUGCCUUUAAGACUGCCGAGCUAGCAGGUGAGAGAGGUAAGUGGAAUUCCGAGUGUAGAGGUGAAAUUCGUAGAUAUUCGGAAGAACACCUGUGGCGAAAGCGGCUCACUGGACAAUAACUGACGCUGAUGCACGAAAGCUAGGGGAGCAAACAGGAUUAGAUACCCCGGUAGUCCCUGUCUCUUAUAC
rnacentral:rRNA from 1 species